ACGUGAACGCUGGCGGCAGGCCUAACACAUGCAAGUCGAACGGCAGCACGGCAGUAGCAAUACGUGUGGGUGGCGAGUGGCGGACGGGUGAGGAAUACAUCGGGAUCUACCUGUUGUGGGGGAUAACGUAGGGAAACUUACGCUAAUACCGCAUAAGAACUGAGGUUGAAAGCGGCGGACCGCAAGGCGUCGCGCGAUUGGAUGAACCGAUGUCCGAUUAGCUAGUUGGCGGGGUAAAGGCCCACCAAGGCGACGAUCGGUAGCUGGUCUGAGAGGACGACCAGCCACACUGGAACUGAGACACGGUCCAGACUCCUACGGGAGGCAGCAGUGGGGAAUUUUGGACAAUGGGCGCAAGCCUGAUCCAGCCAUGCCGCGUGAGUGAAGAAGGCCUUCGGGUUGUAAAGCUCUUUCGGUGGGGAAGAAAUUGCUUCGGUUAAUACCUGGAGUAGAUGACGGUACCCGCAUAAGAAGCACCGGCUAACUACGUG
rnacentral:rRNA from 1 species